rnacentral:rRNA from 1 species
UACAGAGGUCCCAAGCGUUGUUCGGAUUCAUUGGGCGUAAAGGGUGUGUAGGCGGUUCUUUAAGUUUGGUGUGAAAUCUCCCGGCUCAACUGGGAGGGUGCGCCGAAUACUGAGGGACUAGAGUGCGGGAGAGGAAAGUGGAAUUCCUGGUGUAGCGGUGAAAUGCGUAGAUAUCAGGAGGAACACCGGUGGUGUAGACGGCUUUCUGGACCGUAACUGACGCUGAGACACGAAAGCGUGGGUAGCAAACAGG